rnacentral:rRNA from 1 species
GAUCAUGGCUCAGAUUGAACGCUGGCGGCGUGCUUAACACAUGCAAGUCGCGCGUGAAAGGACUUCGGUCCGAGUAAAGCGGCGCACGGGUGAGUAACGCGUGGAUGAUCUACCCAUGAGUUAGGAAUAACGGCUGGAAACGGUCGCUAAUACCAAAUACGCUCCGAUUUCAACUUCGGGGGAAAGGUGGCCUCUGCUUGCAAGCUACUGCUCAUGGAUGAGUCCGCGUCCCAUUAGCUAGUUGGUGGGGUAACGGCCCACCAAGGCGACGAUGGGUAGCCGGUCUGAGAGGAUGACCGGCCACACUGGGACUGGAACACGGCCCAGACUCCUACGGGAGGCAGCAGUGGGGAAUAUUGCGCAAUGGGCGAAAGCCUGACGCAGCGACGCCGCGUGAAGGGAUGAAGGUCCUCGGAUCGUAAACCUCUGUCAGGAGGGAAGAACCGCCACGGUGCUAAUCAGCCGUGGUCUGACGGUACCUCCAAAGGAAGCACCGGCUAACUCCGUGCCAGCCGCCGC